AUACUUAGCUGGCAUAGGGGAUACCGUGAUCAUGUAGGUGGUUUCCCCAGGGCGAGACUGCUCCAUUGCACUGCGGAGUGGUUCACCCUUGCGAUUAUUUUUAUCAAUAAAAAAACAUAAUAAAAAAUGUAUACCCGAAUAAUGAUUUUCUUUAUA
rnacentral:snRNA from 1 species